rnacentral:rRNA from 1 species
CGCAUCUGUGCAUGCAGCAUAUCAAUAAGCGGAGGAAAAGAAACUAACAAGGAUUCCCUUAGUAACGGCGAGUGAAGCGGGAAGAGCUCAAAUUUGAAAUCUUCAAGGUUUUACCUUGACGAAUUGUAGUUUAAAGAAGUGUUUUCUGUUGAAGUUUUGGUAAAAGUUCUUUGGAAUAGGACAUCAUAGAGGGUGAGAAUCCCGUAUUUGACCAUUAUUUUCAGCUGUGUGAUACACUUUCAAAGAGUCGGAUUGUUUGGGAAUGCAGUCCAAAAUGGGUGGUAAAUUUCAUCUAAAGCUAAAUAUUGGCGAGAGACCGAUAGCGAACAAGUACCGUGAGGGAAAGAUGAAAAGAACUUUGAAAAGAGAGUUAAACAGUACGUGAAAUUGUCAAAAGGGAGGCGUUUGACACCAGUGUUGUUUUCUCGAAAAUCAAUUAAAAAGAGUUUGAUUUUGUUGUGUAUUGACCUUAACAGCUUGCAUUUCAAUUUUCUUGCUUUUUUAAUGCACUUUUCGUUUAACAAGUCAACAUCAGUUUCUUUUGUUGUGAAAAGGUCAUUGGAAGGUGGCUUUCUUUUCGGAGAAAGUGUUUAUAGCCUUUGACUCCUGCAAUCGGAGAGACUGAGGUCUGCAGCGUAGAUCCUUCGGGGUUAGAUACAUUUGUGCUAAGUUAUAGCUUUUUAUAGACAACUUGUUGACUAUGAUUAGUCUUGUAGCUUACUCGCUUAUGCUAUUUUACCUACGCUUAGGAUGUUGACACACGCGCGUGCUCG